rnacentral:rRNA from 2 species
CAUGUCUAAGUUCACACCCUCGUACGGUGAAACCGCGAAUGGCUCAUUAAAUCAGUCGAGGUUCCUUAGAUGAUCCAUUUCUACUUGGAUAACUGUGGUAAUUCUAGAGCUAAUACAUGCCCAACAGCUCCGACCCCGGGCUUCGCGGUUCGGGGAAAGAGCGCUUUUAUUAGUUCAAAACCAGUCGGGGGUUUCGGCCCUCGUGCUUUGGUGACUCUGGAUAACUUUGAGCCGAUCGCAUGGCCUCGAGCCGGCGACGCAUCUUUCAAAUGUCUGCCCUAUCAAAUGACGACGGUACGUGAUCUGCCUACCGUGUUGACUACGGGUAGCGGGGAAUCAGGGUUCGAUUCCGGAGAGGGAGCAUGAGA